rnacentral:rRNA from 1 species
GCCUACGACCAUAUCACCCUGAAUGCGCCCGAUCUCGUCUGAUCUCGGAAGCUAAGCAUGGUCGAGCCUGGUUAGUACUUGGAUGGGAGACUGCCUCGGAAUACCAGGUGUUGUAGGCU